UCAUAUUGUCCCUAAUCAGGGCCUACGAGGCCUUAAAAAUGCUUUAGAAGUGGUUCGGGACUAAACCGACAACAUAUGAAAAUUUUGGAAGCUUAGAAAAAUUUUAACAUUCUAAGGGUCACACGCUCGUGUGAACAGGCCGUGUGCCUCAUACGGCUAGUAGACACGCCCGUGUCAUAGACCGUGUGGAAACAGGGCAUACUUACUAACUUGCAUCACAAAGUCGAAGACACUCCCGUGUGCCAAGCCGUGUGAAAAUUGGAGGGUAUACUGACUUAUCAACACGGCCAAUUCGCACGCCCAUGUGCUAG
rnacentral:lncRNA from 1 species